AUGAGUAUGCUCAGGCUUCAGAAGAGGCUUCUCUCUAGUGUUCCUCUGUGCAAAAAAAGGUCUAAUGAAAUGAGACUAAUGAAAUCACCAAUGCAACUCCCGUCAGCAGAUCCGGAAGCUGAUCAAAAAUGGGCUGAUCAUCCGCAAGCCCGUGACUGUCCAUUCUCGAGCUCAAGUGUGGAAAAACACCUUGGCUCGCUGGAAGGGCAGGCAUAUGGGCAUAGGAAGCGAAAGGUACAGCCAAUGCUCCAAUGCCUGAGAAGGCAACCUGGAAGCAGAGAUAUGAGGAUUCUGCGCCAGUACUGAGGAGAUAGUGUGAGUCUAAGAAGAUUGUCCACCAUGUGUAUCACACCCUGUACUUCAAGGUGAAGGGGAAUGUGUUCAAAAACAAGCAGAUUCUCAUGGAACACAUCUACAAGCUGAAAGCUGACAAGGCCCACAAGAAGCUCCUGGCUGACCAGGCUGAGGCUCGCGGGUCUAAGACCAAGGAAGUAUGCAAGCGCCCUGAAGAGCACCUCCAGGCCAAGAAGGAGGAGAUCAUCAAGACUCCGUCCAAAGAGGAAGAGACCAAGAAGUAAAACUCCCCGCUCUUGUCUGUACAUAGUGGCCUGGGUC